rnacentral:rRNA from 1 species
UACGUAGGGGGCUAGCGUUGUCCGGAAUCAUUGGGCGUAAAGAGCGUGUAGGCGGUCCGGUAAGUCCGCUGUGAAAGUCGGGGGCUCAACCCUCGAAUGCCGGUGGAUACUGUCGGGCUAGAGUGCGGAAGAGGCGAGUGGAAUUCCGGGUGUAGCGGUGGAAUGCGUAGAGAUCCGGAAGAACACCGGUGGCGAAGGCGGCCUGCUGGGCGGCGACUGACGCUGAGGCGCGACAGCGUGGGGAGCAAACAGG